GCCUUCAUGGUGUAAUUGGAAGCAUAUUCAGUGCAUUCAAGAGGUCCAAGGUUCAAGUCCUGGUGAAGGCA
rnacentral:tRNA from 1 species